rnacentral:lncRNA from 1 species
GCCUCAUGUGCUCAGUUGUGUGCAGGAUGUCGGCGGGUUCCUUGCUGCCUGGGCCUUCACUGCACAGCUGGGCCUCCGAGGAAGCUGCUUACUCCAUUCUGGCAGAGCUCCCUGUGGGCCUUUCUCCGCGCCCUACCGCUUCUUAUGGCAGCCGGAUUCGGUCCCCAGUCCCCGUGUCCUGCGUGAGAGAGGGCUCCUGUCCCAGCCCCAACAGCAGGAGAGAGCUGAUGUCCUCACUAUCUGACCGUGGCCUCGUCCUGCUUCCUGUCCUUCUCCAGAGGAAAUUGGAUCAAAACGGACCAUCCUCUGGGCUGGCAGACUCUUCUAGGAAUCAGGACCUAUCCCUGUUCUCACACCUUCAUCACAAAUAACAGGCAAGAGUUAUCUGUCAUGCUGGGAAUUCCCAUACCAAGAACUCUGGAAUUUCGCAGUCUGUAGAGGACACUUUCAAAAUCGUGUCAAGAUUUUAUAAAAUGUGUUUCUCAGCAGACAGAAAACUAGGACUGUCUUUCAUUGUAGUUUUGUAGCAC